AGGUGUGUGGAGUACACUUCCCUGACGGCAGACCAACGCAGGAACACCCAUAUCCCAUAAUAUGGGAUAUGAAUAUAGUAAAGCACCAUCAUGUGGAAGACCACCCACAAAGAGGAGAUGUCUCCAGCCCCCAACAGAGAGACCAUGUGAUGAGCCUCCUGUGACAAAUUCUGAUACCGAAGUAGGGCAUAGCUUGGAGGAUAGUCUGUCUCCACACCAAUGUGAUGUUGGCACUCAGUGGCCAGAGCGUAGUGAUCAUGAUUAUUGUUCGAUGAAGUCAACAAAAGAUGCAAGCACACAAACAGAUCCUACACCAUCACUGUCAGCUCAUGACAUGGAUGAUAAAGUGUCAACAUUUUACAUUGGACUAGACAUCAUCAGCUUUUGGCAACUUUUGAACACCAUCAUUGGCUUUCUUCCACAGUCGAAGACGUUCAAAUUAACAGUCCAUGAACAGCUACUGCUGGUCCUAAUGAGGGUUCGGCUUGGCUUAAUGUUCACAGAUUUGGGAUCAGCAGAACUACAGCCUGUGAUAUGUUCGCAAUGUGGAGAGCAACACUUUCCCAAGGGAAAAUCUUUUUUUUGGCUCCCUCGAGACACUCUGAAUAGAGUAAGACCCUCAAGUUUUCUUGAACACUAUCCCAAUGCAACAUGCAUCAUAGAUUGCACUGAAAUAUUUGUCCAAAGACCGAAGAACUUGGGGAAAAGAGCAAAAACAUACAGCAACUAUAAGCAUCACAACACCUACAAAGUCCUCUAUUGCAUAGCCCCCCAAUGGUUUUGUGAUGUAUUGUGUCAAAACUGUUUGGUGCCAGAGCUAGUGACAUUUUUAUCACAAAAAACUGUGGAUUUCUGUCACAUUUGAUUUUUGGUGAUCAGAUUUUGACAGACCGGGGAUUCACAAUUGGAGAUGUUCUUCCUCCAGGAGUGACAUUGGCUAUUCCAGCACUUACACGUGGAUGUACACAACUAUCAGAACAUGAAGUCACAAGAACCCGCCGUCUCGCCAAUGUCCGAAUUCAUGUUGAACGUGCAUUAAGAAGGUUAAAAUGCUUCAAAAUUUUGAGUAAUGUAAUUCCAGGUUGUUUAAAACAUGUUGAUGACAUUUUGACUAUUUGUGCAGGCCUGUGUAACCUUCUUGAAAUCUUACAAACAUGUUUGGCAUACACUACACUUGUCCCUGUCUGUAGGCCUACAUGUCAGCAUCAUCUUCCAACUUGUCAGCGAUAAUAUGCCCAAGAUAUUUUGUACUGCUUGACACACAGUGAUUGCCCUGACAGGUAAAACGUUGGAAAGACUUCCUGAACACAACACUUUUUUUGCAUUGUACUGUAUUUUUUUGCAUUGUACUGUAGGCCUACAUCAAACUCAACCCCAGAGCACACAUUCAGAAGUUGCUGAAACUCAACAGUGCCGGGGGACAUGGGCCUAAUAACCAGAUCAUCAAAUGGUUGAAAACGGUGCAUGUGUUUUAUUGUCUGUGUCUAAAUCUCGUCAUACAUCCAGUGUGUUUUGUUUUUUUAACAGACGUGUUUUCACAAUGACACUCUGAGAAUUUACUUUUGAACAAAGUGUCUUGUGUAUAAAAUGGUGUGCAGACAGCCGGAGUGUGUGUGUUGCGUAAAGGAGCAAGUGCUUUGCAAAGAUACCAGCUGAAAGUGUAAUGCUUGACUUUUGAUUAAGGUCAAGGUGGCCUAAGGUGCUGGGGGAAACUCUCUCUCUAGGCUAGGCCUAAUCAGAAAGCAAGGUGUGUG